rnacentral:rRNA from 1 species
UACGGGGGGAGCAAGCGUUGUUCGGAUUUACUGGGCGUAAAGGGCGCGUAGGCGGCCACCGCAAGUCAGUUGUGAAAUCUCUGGGCUUAACCCAGAAAGGUCAACUGAUACUGCGGGGCUAGAGUGCAGAAGGGGCAGCUGGAAUUCUCGGUGUAGCGGUGAAAUUCGUAGAUAUUCGCAAGAACACCAGUGGCGAAGGCGGCUCACUGGCCCGGUACUGACGCUGAGGUGCGAAAGCGUGGGGAGCAAACAGG